rnacentral:lncRNA from 1 species
AAAAUCUCUCUCUCUCUCUCUCUCUCUCUCUCUCUCUCUCUCUCUCUCUCUCUCUCUCUCUCUCUGUAUUCUCUUUCGUUCGGAUCUAUUUCGAAGAUACAGAAGCACACGAGGCUAUAUAUUCACAAUCUUGUGUGUACAUGCAAAUGUUUGAUUUAUUGCGGCGGUCUCUAAUUCGCUUGGUGCAGGUCGGGAACUUUCUUCGCCGGUUAUGUCGUUUCAACUUUCACGUGAAUAUUCCAAACGCCAAAAUCGUGCUCAUAUAAAUAUGUAUGGAUUUCUGUAUGUAUAAACAAACUAAUUGAUGUCGUUGUAUUUGGCGAAAAUCAGGUUCCCGCCUUGCACUAAGCAAAUUAGAGACCGCGGUGAAUGUUACAUCGUAAAGGACGGUGUUUCAUCUUAUUCCGGUGGAUCUCUUUAUUGAUUUGGUUCAAUUGUAGGUUUGGAUUUGAUUUGUUUUCAGCUGAAUGCGUUGGAAUGACUCAGAUAAUUUACGACUAUUCUAUUUGAGUGACAGAUCUUUUGGACUUUGCAGGUAUGUGCUUGUUUUAAAGUUUUUUGUUCAAGAAAAAGACAUGAGGAAAAUAUGGAAAUAGGAUGAUUUCUAAUUGGAAUUUUCUGAGAUAAUUAAUUCAUUUUGAGUGGCUGUUUGUGUCUGUUUAUUUAUUGUUUAAAUUCUGAGCUUUUUCCUUUUUAUUUUUAUUUAUUUUUAUUAUUAUUUUUUUUUUUUAACAUAAAAUUAAUCAAGAAGCAAUCAAUUACUAUUAAAAAAAAUUUUUGUGGUGAAAAGUAAUUAUUUUUCUUUCUUUCUGAUUUCCUUUUUUCCUGACAAAUUCAGAGAGCAUUUUGAUUUUCCAUCGGAAUAUUUGAUGGAUCUUAGUAAAAAUGUCAGAAUUUGUGCAAAUAAGUGCUACCAAAUCUAAUUUCCCUCGUAUAUAGUUCUCGACUUAAAAAUUGUGAAUUGUUGGCUUAGACUAUCUCAGCAAAGUUUGCCAGUUAUGCUAGCAGAUAUUUGGGCUUCUCAUUAUUUAACAUUUCUGGAUUCAAGCGAAUAGAUACAGGGGCGUGUGAGUUGAAUUUUGAAUUUUAUGUUUACAUGGUUAAAAAAUUCAACGUUUCGUGGAAAAUAUCCAUUUGCUAGGACAUGGAAAAGAAACACUGAUACCUCUGAAGCCAUAACAUAUUCAAUUUGUAUGCCCUCGUCAAUGUGAUUGAAAGUUAUCACAUAAGCAUAUUUCUUACAAGUGCAUUGAAUUAUGUCUAUUAUUUUUUUGUUUAUAGUGUAUUCUGGAAAGUUGACAAACAGUUUUCACUUCUCCUUCUGCCAAAGACAAAUUGUUGAACACGCUUAUGUUUUUUAUUGAUGCUUAGGAUGUGGUCUUUUAUUGCACACAGGCUUGUUUUGGACUUCCUUUACAUAAAGGAAAUUCCUGAUUUGACUCUAGAAGGGAAUAGAAAGAAGGGAAAGAAAGUCUCCUUACAAUAUUAUGUUCAUUUAUUUCGUUUUAGUAGUGAUUUCUGAAAAAAUUAAUUUAUUUAUGCAUGUGUAUAUGCUUUACAAGUCUAAUUUAUAAAAAUAUUUGGGCUCAUGGAUCAAUUAAUUCAUUACAUAAACCUGAAAGCACACAUAGUUAGGAUUCAAUUUUUUCCCUUUUUGCUGACAAUUAACUCGAUACAGAAAAUUUUCACCUUGCUUAAGGUUUCUUUAUCUGUUCAUUCUUUUCUAAAUUGUGCUUUAUGUUUUUUCUUUGUUAUUUUUUUUUAUGACAACUGUUUAACAUUCAAAAUUUUGGUCAUUGGAACUAACGAGCUCUAAAAAAAUUCUCUAGAGUAUAUCUGAAUGCAAAUUCAUAAUUCAUGGAAUUCGUUCUUGACGAAACUUUGGGCUAAAAUUACUUCAAAAGUUUUAAGAGUUUUCUGGUCUUUAUGCUUCUUCAAAAGUUAAGGCUGUGGUUCUCAAUACUUACCCAUUUUAUAUCUCAUCAAAGAUACAAAUUAUAAUUCUUCUGCAUCAUUGUAUGAUCUACAUACAGCCAUUAUUAAAUUCAAUUUACACUUCAAAUUAUACUUAAGUCAAUUGAAUAAGAAAUUAUACUCAUGCAACCUUAUUUUCGCACAUAUUGUGUCCAUUUUUAAUUAUUGCCCUUGUUUGAGCCCCAUUUUUGUGAAGAAAAUGAAUUUUUGAAUAGUGUAUUGAUGGAAAAUGUGUGGUUAAAAAAUAAGGAAAAGUUUUUGAUUUGCGUACAAUAUUAUUUUAUUGAAGAAUGUAUGGUUGAAAUGAUGUCAAAUCACUGUUGAAUAAUGUAUUUUAGUUGAAAAAUGGGGCUCAAACAAGGGCAUUCAUCUUAUGCUACUCCUGCAUCUUGAGAAAUGACAUUUCAUGAAUUUUGGAUCCUUGUAUGACGAAUUUUUUUCUUAGGAUUUUAUCAUUUUAUUGUCUGGGUACCUUGUUUGCUUUGGGUUAUGCACAGAUUUAUGCAUGAUGAGUGGGUGAGAACAUGUAUUUCAAUCAAAUGCAUAAUAUUUUUCAAUCUGCAGUUGACACGUCUUUAUCAUCUCUGACUUGUCUGAAAUGUGUGCCAUGUUUAUUCUAUGUCCUGGAAUCUCAUAAUUGGAAAGUUAAAGUAAGAUGCACCUCCUUCCAAUGCAAUGUCUGUUUGUGUCUACCGUCUGUUGGCAUUGCAGCAUUAUCGGAACGUUAAUUCAAUCAAAACAUUUGUGUUAUAGCAUUCGGUAUGUUUGAACUGUCUUUCACAUUUGAUUUAUGCUGACUAAUUUGUUGGUGGCUUGUAUUUGAUUCCAGUUUAUAUGGUGGGCUAGAGCGAAGUUUGGGCUGUAUUGCCAUGAUGUCCUUGGAUUGAUCAUGUUGGGUCAAUAUUUUGGACCUCUUGACUUUCAAGCAAAAGGUCAGAAUGACAUUGCUUGAAUAGAUUGUCUAUUUGCUGACUUUGUGUGUUUCUUCAUUUUCAUCUAUAAGUUUCUUAUUCAUGGACUAUGUGGGACACAUUCCUAUGGAAGUAGCAAUUUUAAUGCCAGAAGUGUGUUACUCAUGGAUUAUGUGGGAUCUUCAACUAGAUAAGCAACAACGGUAGGGCUUAAAUGCAUUAUGUUUUUAUUUGUUGAAAUCUUUUUUCUUUCCAUCUUUUUGGAUAAGGAUUUUUAUAUCUAACAUUUUGUUAUUCAUACUUGUCGGUAUUAGGUUUUGUCUUCAAGCCACAAAAUCUUCUAUCUUUCCAUGGUGUGCGACUUAUAUAAGUAGACAUGACUUUGGACAUGGCUUGCUCACAAAAGAAGGUAAAAUAUUACGCUGAUAGAUUGAUGAAUAAAAG